GACGAACGCUGGCGGCGUGCCUAAUACAUGCAAGUCGAACGAACUCUGGUAUUGAUUGGUGCUUGCAUCAUGAUUUACAUUUGAGUGAGUGGCGAACUGGUGAGUAACAUGUGGGAAACCUGCCCAGAAGCGGGGGAUAACACCUGGAAACAGAUGCUAAUACCGCAUAACAACUUGGACCGCAUGGUCCGAGUUUGAAAGAUGGCUUCGGCUAUCACUUUUGGAUGGUCCCGCGGCGUAUUAGCUAGAUGGUGGGGUAACGGUUCACCAUGGCAAUGAUACGUAGCCGACCUGAGAGGGUAAUCGGCCACAUUGGGACUGAGACACGGCCCAAACUCCUACGGGAGGCAGCAGUAGGGAAUCUUCCACAAUGGACGAAAGUCUGAUGGAGCAACGCCGCGUGAGUGAAGAAGGGUUUCGGCUCGUAAAACUCUGUUGUUAAAGAAGAACAUAUCUGAGAGUAACUGUUCAGGUAUUGACGGUAUUUAACCAGAAAGCCACGGCUAACUACGUGCCAGCAGCCGCGGUAAUACGUAGGUGGCAAGCGUUGUCCGGAUUUAUUGGGCGUAAAGCGAGCGCAGGCGGUUUUUUAAGUCUGAUGUGAAAGCCUUCGGCUCAACCGAAGAAGUGCAUCGGAAACUGGGAAACUUGAGUGCAGAAGAGGACAGUGGAACUCCAUGUGUAGCGGUGAAAUGCGUAGAUAUAUGGAAGAACACCAGUGGCGAAGGCGGCUGUCUGGUCUGUAACUGACGCUGAGGCUCGAAAGUAUGGGUAGCAAACAGGAUUAGAUACCCUGGUAGUCCAUACCGUAAACGAUGAAUGCUAAGUGUUGGAGGGUUUCCGCCCUUCAGUGCUGCAGCUAACGCAUUAAGCAUUCCGCCUGGGGAGUACGGCCGCAAGGCUGAAACUCAAAGGAAUUGACGGGGGCCCGCACAAGCGGUGGAGCAUGUGGUUUAAUUCGAAGCUACGCGAAGAACCUUACCAGGUCUUGACAUACUAUGCAAAUCUAAGAGAUUAGACGUUCCCUUCGGGGACAUGGAUACAGGUGGUGCAUGGUUGUCGUCAGCUCGUGUCGUGAGAUGUUGGGUUAAGUCCCGCAACGAGCGCAACCCUUAUUAUCAGUUGCCAGCAUUAAGUUGGGCACUCUGGUGAGACUGCCGGUGACAAGCCGGAGGAAGGUGGGGAUGACGUCAAAUCAUCAUGCCCCUUAUGACCUGGGCUACACACGUGCUACAAUGGAUGGUACAACGAGUUGCGAACUCGCGAGAGUAAGCUAAUCUCUUAAAGCCAUUCUCAGUUCGGAUUGUAGGCUGCAACUCGCCUACAUGAAGUCGGAAUCGCUAGUAAUCGCGGAUCAGCAUGCCGCGGUGAAUACGUUCCCGGGCCUUGUACACACCGCCCGUCACACCAUGAGAGUUUGUAACACCCAAAGUCGGUGGGGUAACCUUUUAGGAACCAGCCGCCUAAGGUGGGACAGAUGAUUAGGGUG
rnacentral:rRNA from 2 species